UCUUCUUCUCCAUCACAAACCCUAAAGGAACCCUAGGAAGUCUUCACAAGGAAACCCUCUCCGUCGCCACCAUCGACGACCGUUUCCUUGCCGGUCGUUAUCCUCCAUCGGAAGCUGCCACCACCGCCGUGCAGUCAUCGCGCGUCGCUUCUGUGAGCCGAGCCGUUCGCAUGAAUCUGAGCAUCGUCAACCAUCCAAAAGCCAGUGAGCCGAUCAUCUUCACACCGUGCUCGCCUGCCGUUCACGUGGAGCCCCGCCGCAUCGUCUCGAAGCAGCCACCGACGAUCAACUAGCCGCCGUCGUUGCCAAACGUCAACCACAGUCGCACCGACUCUACACUCGUUUGAGCCAAGUCGUCCUCCAAACCGCUGACAUCAUCCCUCCAUUCAAGCCAUGCGAGUUGCCUCCGCUUUUCGAGUCGCGACCUAGUUGAACCUUGGUACCCGAGCCGUGCGUGAGCCACCUCUAGAAUGAAUUGAGAACCUUGUUUCCUUUAGCUACUUUAGUCAAACCCUACUUUAAUUUCUCUUGUUUCCUGGAAGGAAAUUUUUGGCUCAGCUAACUUUAAUUGGAAGGAACUGAGAACCUUGUUUCCUCAUCAGUUAGGGUUGAAUUGGAAUUCAACCUGAGUCUCGGGACUUCAUUAUUCGGAAAAGCUCGUCUACCGCUACCAGGUAAUCUCCAGGUAAGAGAUUCUACUACUAGACCCUAGAGUUAAAUUCAAAGAGACCACAUGUAUGAAUGGUUAUGUACUGAUGAUGGCUAGCUACAGAACUUGAGGUUAUAGAUAGAAACUGAUAUUGUAAAUAUGACUGCUAGAUGACUUUGUGGUUAGAGCUGAUAAUGCAUCGAUGUUAUCACCUGCGUUUUAAUGAUAUUAUAUUGCGAUUGAGGAUGAUAUGAUAGGAUAUGUAUGGUAUGUCAUGUUGUGGCAUGAUAUGUUAUGAUAUGAUUUGAUAAUGUGUUAUGUGCAUGCUAUGGAUAGGGUGUUUGUUAGCUUUACCUAUUAAAGUCGUACUCAUAUGAGUGUCCUUCGGGAUCACCACUCUUUUGAUGACUAUGUAGUCCGACGGGAUCACCAGUCUAACAUUGACAUUGACAUAGACAUGAUUUGAGAGAUCCGACGAGAUCGCUCAUACUUAUGACUAUGUAGUUCGACGGGACCACCAAUCUGACAUUGACAUUGACAUAGACAUGAUUUGAGUGAUUCGACGGGAUCACUCAAAGUCUGAUCGUCUUAUGUGUUCCUUUGUGUUCAUCAAAGACCAGCUUCUUCCUACGGGAUCACAGAUUGCACGUGUUUGGAAACGUGCCAGUUUAGGGGCAGAGGCAGAGGUAAGAGCAAAGGUAAGCUGGCGAAUGACCAGAAGUGACAGUGGCGAGCCAUAGGGAUACGUUUGCUUCCGCUUACGUCAUGUGUCAGAUUUCAGUGUCGAUAUUCUUUUCAUUUUAUUUUAUUCUAUUUAUUUCCUUGUUUUUUCUUUAAAACUAGUAGGACCCGAGAUAGGAAUUCUAUUUUAAUUUAUUUUCGUACAUUCUAUUUAUAAUUUUAACGAUAAUUUUCAAUUUUGUUUUAUUUUCUAUUUACUUUAAAUAAAUUUAAUUCUUUUCUUUUAAA